rnacentral:misc_RNA from 1 species
GAUGAAGAACGUAGCGAAAUGCGAUAAGUAGUGUGAAUUGCAGAAUUCAGUGAAUCAUCGAAUCUUUGAACGCACAUUGCGCCCCUUGGUAUUCCAUGGGGCAUGCCUGUUCGAGCGUCAUUUGUACCUUCAAGCUUUGCUUGGUGUUGGGUGUUUGUCUCGCCUUUGCGUGUAGACUCGCCUUAAAGUAAUUGGCAGCCAGUGUUUGGUUUUGAAGCGCAGCACAAGUCGCGAUUCAAAGCUAUACGCCCGCUUCCACAAGCCUUUUUCACUUUUGACCUCGGAUCAGGUAGGGAUACCCGCUGAACUUAAGCAUAUCAAUAAGCGGAGGA